CCUCCCUACGCCAACUGAACUCUCAACUAGUGGGGGAGCUCGAGUCCACCAAGGAAGCAGCCGCUGCUGGAGAGAAGAGGCUUGAGGAGGUGGUGGGCAAACUGUCUGAAGCCAAGGGCCAACUGGAAGAAGCUGCCUCUUCCCUUGCUGCCCUUACCACCGAGAGAAAUGCUGCGGAGGCCUCGAAGCAAAAACUGGAGGCGGAGAAAGCUGAUCUGAUGAACGUGGGUGCUGAUGCCCUUACUGACGGAUUCGAGCUGGCACUCGAGCAGAUCCGAUGCGUUCUCCCCGACUUGGACCUCUCGCAAUUCAGCAUUUAUCACGAAGUGGUAGAUGGAAAGCUCACCCCUCCUCC
rnacentral:lncRNA from 1 species